rnacentral:rRNA from 1 species
AUUGAACGCUGGCGGCAUGCCUAACACAUGCAAGUCGAACGAGCGGCGGGCGGGUGAGUAAUGUCUGGGAAACCGCCUGAUGGCUGGGGAUAACUACUGGAAACGGUAGCUAAUACCGCAUACCAUCAGAUGUGCCCAGCGGGGAUUAGCUAGAGGGGGGGGUAACGGCUCACCUAGGCGACGAUCCCUAGCUGGUCUGAGAGGAUGACCAGCCAAACUGGAACUGAGACACGGUCCAGACUCCUACGGGAGGCAGCAGUGGGGAAUCUUGGGCAAUGGACGAAAGCCUGAUGCAGCCAUGCCGCGUGUGUGAAGAAGGCCUUCGGGUUGUAAAGCACUUUCAGCGGGGAGGCGUUACCCGCAGAGAAAGCACCGGCUAACUCCGUGCCAGCAGCCGCGGUAAUAC